UGGCUCAGUUGGCAGAGCAUGGCAUUUGCAAUGCUAAAGUUGUAGGUUCAAUCCCCAC
rnacentral:tRNA from 1 species